rnacentral:tRNA from 1 species
GCCCCCGUUGUCUAAUGGUUAUGACGUCAGACUUCUACCAAGUUUGUUUGGUUUAUCUGGAGGUUGCGAGUUCGAGUCUCGCCGGGGGUU